GACGGGGGGGGCAAGUGUUCUUCGGAAUUACUGGGCGUAAAGGGCGCGUAGGCGGCCUUCUAAGUCGAACGUGAAAUCCCCGGGCUCAACCCGGGAACUGCGUCCGAUACUGGGAGGCUUGAAUCCGGGAGAGGGAUGUGGAAUUCCAGGUGUAGCGGUGAAAUGCGUAGAUAUCAGGAGGAAUACCUAUGGCGAAAGCAGGUAUCUGGGCCAUCACUGACGCUGAGCUGCGAAAGCUAGGGGAGCAAACAGG
rnacentral:rRNA from 1 species